AACGUUGGCCCGUAAUCCGGGUUGCGGACAGUGUCUGGUGGGUAGUUUGACUGGGGCGGUCUCCUCCUAAAGAGUAACGGAGGAGCACGAAGGUUGGCUAAUCCUGGUCGGACAUCAGGAGGUUAGUGCAAUGGCAUAAGCCAGCUUGACUGCGAGCGUGACGGCGCGAGCAGGUGCGAAAGCAGGUCAUAGUGAUCCGGUGGUUCUGAAUGGAAGGGCCAUCGCUCAACGGAUAAAAGGUACUCCGGGGAUAACAGGCUGAUACCGCCCAAGAGUUCAUAUCGACGGCGGUGUUUGGCACCUCGAUGUCGGCUCAUCACAUCCUGGGGCUGAAGUAGGUCCCAAGGGUAUGGCUGUUCGCCAUUUAAAGUGGUACGCGAGCUGGGUUUAGAACGUCGUGAGACAGUUCGGUCCCUAUCUGCCGUGGGCGCUGGAGAACUGAGGGGGGCUGCUCCUAGUACGAGAGGACCGGAGUGGACGCAUCACUGGUGUUCGGGUUGUCAUGCCAAUGGCACUGCCCGGUAGCUAAAUGCGGAAGAGAUAAGUGCUGAAAGCAUCUAAGCACGAAACUUGCC
rnacentral:rRNA from 1 species